rnacentral:rRNA from 1 species
UACAGAGGGUGCGAGCGUUAAUCGGAAUUACUGGGCGUAAAGCGUGCGCAGGCGGUUUUGUAAGACAGAGGUGAAAUCCCCGGGCUCAACCUGGGAACUGCCUUUGUGACUGCAAGGCUUGAGUGCGGCAGAGGGGGAUGGAAUUCCGCGUGUAGCAGUGAAAUGCGUAGAUAUGCGGAGGAACACCGAUGGCGAAGGCAAUCCCCUGGGCCUGCACUGACGCUCAUGCACGAAAGCGUGGGGAGCAAACAGG